UGUCUCUGGCCUGGAAGCUCUCGCCUCCAGCCACCUUUUUUGAAGAGUCUUCCGCAGGUUAAAACCAGCGGUGAGAGGGGCAGAUGGCCUUCUGCGAAGGCAGAGAGGAAGAUGACUACGAGAGGCUGCAGGGGACCCAGGGAUGAGAGUAGGAGUCAGGGUCAUCCUUGGACCCUUCCAGCCAUCCAACAGGAGGAGUUACAAUUGCCAUUCUACUUUGAGAAAACUGAGACCUAAAGUCUGCCUGCCAGUGAUGGUGGAGCUGGAAUUAGAAUUCAGAUCUGGCUGCUCUUGAUGACUCCGAUCCCCACCCGUCUGUGAGCCUGUGAGCGAGGCCAGUACCGGGAACAAAUGUGAGGCUUGGGACCCACCGAGGGAGGUGAGCAGACCGCAGGGAGGGCGGGCCGAUCCCCUAGUUUCUGCAGCGCAGGGGGCUGGACCGCGAGGCUCGGCGCCAGGGGGCCUGCUGAGCGGUCUCUGCCAAGAGGGGGCGCGCGGGACGCCCCAACGGAAGCUCCGGGACGCGAUCGCUGUCCAAGUUUGAAAGGGUUGACCACUGGCCAAGGGACCCGCCUGGAGGGAGACCCUGCUCAGGACUGGAGGAGACCUCUCAAGUGCCCCAGUAGCUUCCAAGAGCCACUGAAUCCUGUGUGUUUUCAUCCCUGAGCCCCACCAUUGGCCCAAGCUGGGCAAGGAGCAACCAGUCAACCUCAGAGGCCUGGAGGCUGUAAAGUUAAGCAAGACAAAGAAAUCCCCAUGGACAAGCCUCACCUAUGUGCCAUACGCAGUGCCUGCAUUUCCACGGUCAUCAUUUCCUUCACCCCGAGCCACGGGAGGAUGUGGAGAAGUCCCACCUCUGCCAUCACUUUUCCCUUGCACAGUUAUCUUGGCUUUCCUCACCAUCUUCCUCACGGUGUCCUCUGCAUCUGAACUCUUCCCAAGGACUUGGAAGCACAAUGUUGUGUCAGCCACUGUCAGCUUCCUCACAGGGAUCUGUGCCUUCCUGGCCAUGUUGCUGCAUGCCUUGGAGAUCCGGGAUCUGAGGAUGAAGCCCAGUCCACCACAGUUCUCCAUGCAGUGGCCUUACUACAUCCUGGGCUUUGACAUCCUUCUGUUCCUGGUGGCUGGUGCCAUUUGCCUUUCUCAAGGAAAAAUCUGCCUUAGAUGUCGCUUGUUGCCCAUUUACCAGAGCACUGAAGACGUCCAGGGGACCCUACACUUGGAAAAGCUGGAAAGUUUGGGAGGAAAACUGAGCUGGGUACAAAAGGAGACCCAGCUGAGGGAAGCAACAGUAAUCUAGCCCAGGACAUUGUCUCUGCCCUUCCUGAAGCUGUGUGGCAACGCUUGCAGGUGUGUGCGGCAACUCCUUCUCUGCCAGUCUCUGCUGCCUAGAGGAGGUGGAGCAUCAAGCCAACCUUCCACGCCCUGACACGCACAGACAGUCCAUCUUGCCGAUGUUUAAAAUUUUUUAAAAGUUCUUUGGAAAGAAAAAGUUCUUUGAACUCUUCUGAGCUUCUUGAGUGAUUAUUAUUACUUUUUUGGAAGGUAUAUUAAAG
ensembl:lincRNA